GCCCGCCCGGGCGUGCUCGGUGGGAAGGGCAGAGCGCCCGCCCCUCGGGAUUCCCCCGAGGCACCGAGGUCGGAGCGCUGGGCUUUCGGAAAGCGGGGGGGCGAGGGGUUACGCGUGGAAAGGUUCGCGAGUGGAGGGGAGGUAGGACGCUCAAGUGCUCUCACGAAGGCGUGCUGAGCUCGGGGUGUCGUCCUAAGCACCUACGGAUAACAGGGGUAGACCCUAGUCUGAGAUACGAAGAAUUUUGUGUGCCUCCCUCCCGUUCCUGCCCGUCUUCUGCUAAAGCCUGGGAGCUCCUUGCGCUCCUUCUCCCUCUCCUUCCCGGGGCAGCACCGCCGGGAGCGGUGCCCCCGAUCCGGCCGGGCACAAGAGCACGGCUCGGGGCUGCAGGCGGCUGGAGCCGGGCGGAAAUUUUGGACGGGCGACCACGGAAAAACCUCGCUUUGCAGCGGGCACGCACGGCGCCUGCCCCUGCCUUUGUCCAGCCGGACUGUGGAACAGGCUCCUAAAAAACGCAGCACACUUCGGCUUCCAUCCCGAAUCCCAGCAAACGCAAUGUCGGGUGGCGAAAAGACCCCUCUUGCACGUGGAUAGCCGGGAUUUCUUUCCAAACAGCGGGGACUGACAUGCAUUUCUUAAAAAUCCCGUUCUCUGUAUGGCUGCGAGGGGAAAGCCGGUGGAAGCGGGGAGGCUGGUGCCGCAGCUCCGCCAGCGGAGCAUCCUCAGCCCGCCUGGCAUCGCCCUCCCGGACCUGCUCGGCACCGCGCUGCCAGCUGCCCAGGGCCGGCAGCUCACCAAAAGUUACUUUCACAGGCUGCCACAAGCAUCCUCGGCGGCUUCAGCAGCCCGGCAGGGAGAUACCGGAGACGUUUGUUCUUUUCCCAGGCGAACCGGGAGAAGCCGAACGCGCUGCAAGAGUUUAAAAAACCUCGGGGGGAAUCAUCCACCUCCUGCUUCAGCGCCUCGUGCUGCGCGGACACUUCGCAAAGAGCAGAAGAAGUUCCGUUUAAAGGCUCCAAGGGGUGGUUAUCAGCUCCUUCCAGCGCAGAUCAGAGCAGCGUGCGAACGCACAGCCCUUCGGGUUGGGCUCGGUGUCGGGCUCGGUGCGACUUAAGUCAAAGAGCCCCGAGGAAUUAACUCCUGGGGUUGAGGAAUCACGCCAAGACACACACCCGGUCGCACGGAGAGGAACCUUUGCAUUGAAACGCCUUUGGCUGCAGGGUGUUUUGAGAAGGAAGGCAGAGCAGUACGGGCAGAGCAUGGGGUUUGCCAGCACAGAAAUUACGGGGAAAAUGCCCUCUGAGCUUCGACAUGGGCUAAACUCGGACACAAAGGACGCGAAACUGGCUGGAAAAGGGGGAAUACCCCCUUUGCUGAUCGCCAAGAAUAAUCCGAGGUCAAAUAAAGAACAGCAAAUGUUUCCUAGGUCGGCACCCAAAACAAAUCGUGGCAAUUUCUAGGCAAUUUUGUUGCUGUUAUUUUAGUACCGUGCUGUUCUGUUCAUUAAAAAUCUUUUUAUGCCCCCAGAAAAAGUGGAACUGAGAACGUUUCCCCUUUAAUACCACAUUAUCAACACAGCUCAUUUGCUAUUUUUCAAUGAAUUAUCCCUUUUAUUUGUUUAUUUCUUUGAUCAACUAUAAAUGAAAGUUAUUCGUGUAUAUAAAACUGAAGUUUUUACUGUUGAAAUUGAACUGUACAUGUUUACUACAGGAAAAAAUAUCAACUCUUGUUUAACAAGACAUUAUACAUCAAUAAGCAAUAACCUUGUGGAGGAUUUGCAAUCACCUGGUCUAUAAAAACAAGCAGGACAAAUAACAGCAAUUUAUAUGCAAAAGUAAUGAUUUAAUGACUAUAAGCAAGACAAAGCAAUAGAAUUGUGCUUCUUUUGCAGACUGGAGACAAUGAAAUGUUUAACUACAAUUUUCCCGUACAAACAUGAAACAAUAUCCAUAUAGAAUAAACACCCUCACAAAUGUAUAACUGAUGGGUGAUGAACACACACGAAGUUCGACCAAAGCAAAGCACAAACUGAAAAGUGUUCUG